rnacentral:lncRNA from 1 species
CCUACUCAAGAUGGAGUCGCUCUGGUUUGAACGCCUCUGACACUUCCACUCUCAAGGAAUGGUGUUUUUAUUCUCUUCUCCCCAGAAUGUACUUCUGGUCUGUCCCGCUGUUCCAUUCCACAGCAUUUUAGGAGGUUCUCAAGAGUGUCCUAAACAAGCAGAGAAGAAUGGUGAGACUUACCCAUUCCUAGUUUAAGAAAUGAGUGAAAUGGGGUCUGAGUUAUAUCACAGCUACAGUUUAGACUCCUGUGGUACAGUUGGCUUUCCCAGGCUCCCGGCGUCCAUGCUGUCUCGGCGCUAUCUCGCAGCCUGACGCCACGCGCCAUCUGCUGGCCUUGAGCUGCAUAGCUCUAGAGUAACUUCAGAGGCCACGGGGGAACAAAGAGCACUCGCCUACUUGACUGAGCUCCGACAGGCCGUCCCUCUGCUUCAGGUGUAGGCGUGAACAAGUCCAGACCACUACCUUAACAGUAACAAGUACUUGACACAUGUCCUUGGUCUAGAAAGGAUGGAGGAGCCACAGACAGCUGAGGUGCAGGCUCCAGCUCAAUGGCCUGUCAUUACAAGAGGCUCUUGGAGUUUCUGAUCUUCUUCGCCUCUCUCUAUGCCCAACCCUGUCUAGAGUGCACCUCAGCAUGAUUUUAGAAAACAGCAUGGAGAAAGAGAAGUUGAGGCCAGUCUUUCUCCUCCGAUCACCAAGUAUCUAUUAAAAGCCAUUCCCUCC